UACGUAGGGGCAAGCGUUGUCCGGAUUUAUUGGGCGUAAAGAGCGUGUAGGCGGCCAUGUAGGUCCGUUGUGAAAACUCGAGGCUCAACCUCGAGACGCCGAUGGAAACCAUGUGGCUAGAGUCCGGAAGAGGAGAGUGGAAUUCCGUGGUGUAGCGGUGAAAUGCGCAGGAUAAUCAGGAAGAACACCCGUGGCUAAGGCGGCUCUCUAGUACGGUACUGACGCUGAGACGCGAAAGCGUGGGGAGCGAACAG
rnacentral:rRNA from 1 species